GAUGAACGCUGGCGGCGUGCCUAAUACAUGCAAGUCGAGCGAACGGACGAGAAGCUUGCUUCUCUGAUGUUAGCGGCGGACGGGUGAGUAACACGUGGAUAACCUACCUAUAAGACUGGGAUAACUUCGGGAAACCGGAGCUAAUACCGGAUAAUAUUUUGAACCGCAUGGUUCAAAAGUGAAAGACGGUCUUGCUGUCACUUAUAGAUGGAACCGCGCUGCAUUAGCUAGUUGGUAAGGUAACGGCUUACCAAGGCAACGAUGCAUAGCCGACCUGAGAGGGUGAUCGGCCACACUGGAACUGAGACACGGUCCAGACUCCUACGGGAGGCAGCAGUAGGGAAUCUUCCGCAAUGGGCGAAAGCCUGACGGAGCAACGCCGCGUGAGUGAUGAAGGUCUUCGGAUCGUAAAACUCUGUUAUUAGGGAAGAACAUAUGUGUAAGUAACUGUGCACAUCUUGACGGUACCUAAUCAGAAAGCCACGGCUAACUACGUG
rnacentral:rRNA from 1 species